UUCUUCGGAUGAAGGUCUGGUGACUGAGUGGCGGACGGGCGAGUAACGCGUGGGUAACCUGCCCUGUACAGGGGGAUAACAGUUGGAAACGGCUGCUAAUACCGCAUAAGCGCACGAGAGGACAUCCUCUUGUGUGAAAAACUCCGGUGGUACAGGAUGGGCCCGCGUCUGAUUAGCUGGUUGGCAGGGUAACGGCCUACCAAGGCGACGAUCAGUAGCCGGUCUGAGAGGAUGAACGGCCACAUUGGAACUGAGACACGGUCCAAACUCCUACGGGAGGCAGCAGUGGGGAAUAUUGCACAAUGGGGGAAACCCUGAUGCAGCAACGCCGCGUGAGUGAAGAAGUAUUUCGGUAUGUAAAGCUCUAUCAGCAGGGAAGAUAAUGACGGUACCUGACUAAGAAGCUCCGGCUAAAUACGUGCCAGCAGCCGCGGUAAUACGUAUGGAGCAAGCGUUAUCCGGAUUUACUGGGUGUAAAGGGUGCGUAGGUGGCAGUGCAAGUCAGAUGUGAAAGGCCGGGGCUCAACCCCGGAGCUGCAUUUGAAACUGCAUAGCUAGAGUACAGGAGAGGCAGGCGGAAUUCCUAGUGUAGCGGUGAAAUGCGUAGAUAUUAGGAGGAACACCAGUGGCGAAGGCGGCCUGCUGGACUGUUACUGACA
rnacentral:rRNA from 1 species